GUUGGGCAAUGUUAGAACAACGCAGGCCUCCCAGACAGCGGUGAAGAGCCCUUCGUCUCUAAGCUUCUUCAGCCAAGUUACGAAGGUUCCAAGCCUGAAGACCUCCAAGAAACUGGAUGUCUCCGCCAUGGCUGUAUACAAGGUGAAGCUUGUCGGGCCUGAAGGUGAAGAGCACGAGUUUGAUGCUCCAGACGACGCCUACAUCCUUGACGCAGCCGAGACUGCCGGUGUGGAGUUGCCAUACUCGUGCCGUGCUGGGGCUUGCUCCACCUGUGCCGGCAAAAUCGAGUCUGGUUCGGUUGACCAGUCGGAUGGGUCCUUCCUUG
rnacentral:lncRNA from 1 species